rnacentral:rRNA from 1 species
GACGAACGCUGGCGGCGUGCUUAACACAUGCAAGUCGAACGGAAAGGCCCUGCUUUUGCGGGGUGCUCGAGUGGCGAACGGGUGAGUAACACGUGAGUAACAUGCCCUUGACUGUGGGAUAACUUCAGGAAACUGGGGCUAAUACCGGAUAGGAGCUCCUGCUGCAUGGUGGGGGUUGGAAAGUUUCGGCGGUGGGGGAUGGACUCGCGGCUUAUCAGCUUGUUGGUGGGGUAGUGGCUUACCAAGGCUUUGACGGGUAGCCGGCCUGAGAGGGUGAACGGCGACAUUGGGACUGAGAGACGGCGCAGACUGCUACGGUAGGCAGCAGUGGGGAAUAUUGCACAAUGGGCGGAAGUCUGAUGCAGCAACGCCGCGUGCGGGAUGACGGCCUACGGGUUGUAAACCGAUUUCGCCUGUGACGAAGCGUGAGUGACGGUAAUGGGUAAGGAAGCACCGGCUAACUACGUG